AAGCCAUUGUGUGGACAGUCUCUUACCAGCCGCUUAAACCUCACCCAAGCAUCACUGAGCGAUUCGUCAUCUUCUUGUUCAAAAUUUGUUAUUAAUUUCCUUCUUCU